rnacentral:rRNA from 1 species
GGUUAAAAAGCUCGUAGUUGGAUUUCUACCGAAGACAGCCGGUCCACACUACGUGUGCGCAUCUGGUGUGGCUUUGGUAUCCUCAUGGAGAACAGUUCUGCGCUUCAUUGCGUGGACUGGUAUUCAUGACUUUUACUUUGAGGAAAUUAGAGUGUUCACGGCAGGCGUUUGCCUUGAAUACAUUAGCAUGGAAUAAUAAUAUAGGACUUUGGCCCUAUUUUGUUGGUUUCUAGAGCUGAAGUAAUGAUUAAUAGGGACACUUGGGGGCAUUCGUAUUAUCACGUCAGAGGUGGAAUUCUUGGAUUGUGUUACGACGAACUACUGCGAAAGCAUUUGCCAAGGAUGUUUUCAUUGAUCAAGAACGAAAGUAAGGGGAUCGAAGACGCUUAGAUACCGUCGUAGUCUUUACCAUAAACUAUGCCAACUAGGGAUUGGAGGGCGUUCUUCACUCGACUCCUUCAGCACCUUAUGAGAAAUCAAAGUCUUUGGGUUCCGGGGGGAGUAUGGUCGCAAGGCUGGAACUUAAAGGAAUUGACGGAAGGGCACCACCAGGAGUGGAGCCUG